rnacentral:rRNA from 1 species
GAUGAACGCUAGCGGCAGGCUUAACACAUGCAAGUCGAGGGGUUAUAGUAGCAAAUACUAGAGACCGGCGCACGGGUGCGUAACGCGUAUGCAACCUACCUUUUACAGAGGGAUAGCCCCAGAGAAAUUUGGAUUAAUACCUCAUAGUGUUAUUAGAUGGCAUCAUUUGAUAACUAAAGUUCCAACGGUAAAGAUGGGCAUGCGUCCUAUUAGCUAGAUGGUAAGGUAACGGCUUACCAUGGCUUACGAUA